rnacentral:rRNA from 1 species
AGAGUUUGAUCCUGGCUCAGGACGAACGCUGGCGGCGUGCCUAAUACAUGCAAGUCGAGCGGGGAUUAUGCUUGAUCGCUUCGGUGAGACGGCAUAUAUCCUAGCGGCGGACGGGUGAGUAACGCGUGGGUAAUCUACCUCGUAGUUCGGGAUAACAGGCCGAAAGGCUUGCUAAUACCGGAUGAGUUCAUGCUUAUGCAUAUAGGCAUGAAGAAAGGGCUAGCCCGCUAUGAGAUGAGCCCGCGUCCCAUUAGCUUGUUGGUGGGGUAAUGGCCUACCAAGGCAACGAUGGGUAGCCGGCCUGAGAGGGUGUACGGCCACACUGGGACUGAGACACGGCCCAGACUCCUACGGGGGGCAGCAGUAGGGAAUUUUCGGCAAUGGGCGAAAGCCUGACCGAGCGACGCCGCGUGAGGGACGAAGGCCUUCGGGUUGUAAACCUCUGUCUGGGGGGAUGAGAACGGACGGUACCCCCGGAGGAAGCCCCGGCUAACUACGUGCCAGCAGCCGCGGUAAU